rnacentral:rRNA from 1 species
CUGGCGGCGUGCCUAACACAUGCAAGUCGAGCGAUUCUCUUCGGAGAAGAGCGGCGGACGGGUGAGUAACGCGUGGGUAACCUGCCUCAUACACAUGGAUAACAUACCGAAAGGUAUGCUAAUACAGGAUAACAUAAGAGAUUCACAUGGAUUUCUUAUCAAAGCUCCGGCGGUAUGAGAUGGACCCGCGUCUGAUUAGCUAGUUGGUAAGGUAACGGCUUACCAAGGCGACGAUCAGUAGCCGACCUGAGAGGGUGAUCGGCCACAUUGGAACUGAGACACGGUCCAAACUCCUACGGGAGGCAGCAGUGGGGAAUAUUGCACAAUGGGCGAAAGCCUGAUGCAGCAACGCCGCGUGAGUGAUGAAGGCUUUCGGGUCGUAAAACUCUGUCCUCAAGGAAGAUAAUGACGGUACUUGAGGAGGAAGCCCCGGCUAACUACGUGCCAGCCGCCGC